rnacentral:rRNA from 1 species
AUUGAACGCUGGCGGCAGGCUUAACACAUGCAAGUCGAGCGGUAGCACAGGGGAGCUUGCUCCCUGGGUGACGAGCGGCGGACGGGUGAGUAAUGUCUGGGAAACUGCCUGAUGGAGGGGGAUAACUACUGGAAACGGUAGCUAAUACCGCAUAACGUCGCAAGACCAAAGAGGGGGACCUUCGGGCCUCUUGCCAUCAGAUGUGCCCAGAUGGGAUUAGCUAGUAGGUGGGGUAAUGGCUCACCUAGGCGACGAUCCCUAGCUGGUCUGAGAGGAUGACAAGCCACCCUGGAAUGGAAACCGGGCCCGACCCCCUCGGGGAGGCAGCGGGGGGGAAUAUGGCAAAAGGGGCGCAAGCCUAAGGCAGCCAGGCCGGGUGGGUGAAGAAGGCCUUCGGGUUGUAAAGCAUUUUCAGCGGGGGGGAAGGGGGGGAGCUUAAAACGUUCACCAAUGGACGUUACUCGCAGAAGAAGCACCGGCUAACUCCGG